GGACUCGUAGCUCAGCGGGAGAGCACUACGUUGACAUCGUAGGGGUCACAGGUUCAAUCCCUGUCGGGUCCA
rfam:Asticcacaulis sp. YBE204 contig00004, whole genome shotgun sequence.